rnacentral:rRNA from 1 species
UACGUAGGUGGCAAGCGUUGUCCGGAUUUACUGGGCGUAAAGAGCGCGCAGGCGGUCAAGUCAGUCGAAUGUGAAAGCCCCCGGCUCAACUGGGGAGGGUCAUUCGAUACUGCUCGACUUGAAGGCAGGAGAGGGAAGUGGAAUUCCCGGUGUAGUGGUGAAAUGCGUAGAUAUCUGGAGGAACACCGGUGGCGAAGGCGGCAUCCUGGACCGGCAUUGACGCUGAGGCGCGAAAGCCAGGGGAGCAAACGGG